AUCCUGUGACGAGUCCCGAAUAAGACGAAAUGCGCAUCCCGGAU
rfam:Trichobilharzia regenti genome assembly, scaffold: TRE_scaffold0006496